AGGUUUUCACGUGGAAGAAGCAGAAGAGACCAGUUCUAAUCUCAUUCCUUCCCAAGUAUCAGGUUCUGACUCUCUUCUGAGAAGCAUUUAUGGACAUGAGUUGGGCACAGGGACAUGCUGUACAGCCUUCUAGAACUUGGAACCCAAGACCUUAAAAGGAUAAGAUGACUGUGACAUUGCAGUCUUAGACUGACAUUAUAUGUUUGAAACAAUGAAUACUUAUUGUCCAAGGAACCUUCAGAGAUGAAGAACAGGCAACCUUGGAGCUCAUUUCUCUCACUGGUCAUCAACUUGAACUAAGCGGUCAGGUCUUCAUUUUCUUCAUCAUCUGCUUGUUGUAGAGGGCUGGAAUGUUAGCUAUCUAGUAGCACACUAGUGUGCUUCUGUAGUGAUAAGGCAGAGAGGGUGGAAAGACCACUCUGCAUCUAAAACAGAAAUAGAGCAUGCCUGAAACCCAGUGAUACCCAAAGAUUUUGGAAUAGACUAGAGAUGCCCCCUGUGUGGAUCUGAACUCUCCCAUCACACUGUAGCGAAUUGUGUAUCUAAUCAGCCAGGAGUUUCUCCUACCUCUGCACACUGGCUAAUGAUGACUACAGAGAUGGACUCUCAAGGAUUAUUAACAAAUGCAGGGUGCACCUUGGCUUCAGAGCCCUGGAGCCUGUGGUUUAGGAAUCCAGCAGAAAAAUGGCACAGUCGACAAGCACUAAGGUGUUUUGGAGAUGCCCAGAACUCCUGCCUUGUAUUCUAGGCCCAUAUCUGUGUAUUAAAAAGUUAUACAGAAAACAGAACAUGGUCAACAGACUGAAUAAAUCAACCCACCGAAACUCCCACAACCCCAUCAGCUGGCAAUGAGAUGUAGUCUCCGCCUUGAUUCACUGCCUCUGACAUUUGUUUGGCUGCACUGGAAGGAUGUCUGGCACCACCCCUGUUGGUUCCGAAAGCUAAGGAUGACCACUCUUUGGAAGAGCUGGUCAGAGGGCUUCUGAGAACAUAAGGUCACAUACCUAGAGACACACUUCUCUCCAUGAUAGCCACUCCACCCAAAAGAAGCAAGUGGGUGUAAAGUGCUGUGAUGCACUGCCCUAACCUGGAAAAUCAUAGUCACUCCCUGAUUCUUGGGGCUCUUUCUUCAUCCCCAUGUUAUAACCCCAAUGCCCAGUAAGCAUAAUAGCGAGGAGCUCACAGAAUAAUAGCAUUGACCUUGUCAGCAACUGCCUUUGGGAUGGACAAACGGUUUUCCAUUCCUUGACUUUAAGGAAUUAUAAUAACCCAGAGACAUAAUUCACUUCCCAGAGGCUCCACUUCCUGUGCCCCAUUGAUGGAAGACCCAGCUCAAGUACACCUCCUCCAGAGCUACAGGAAUAUUCAGAUGCUUUCCCUGAUCUUGACUGAACUUUGUGCCUCACCUGGAGUGUAGCCUCCCAGAGCCUGAAGCUGGCUGAUGCAGACCUUGUCGCCACUGAGGUGGAGCCACCUGCCUUGCAGCUUUCUGACUUGGCUGGCUUCUUUUGGAAGUGUCAACUGCCCUGAGA